ensembl:lncRNA novel transcript, antisense to PELI1
UUUUUGAAGUAACGUGUAUUAGUUGUACAACUUUGACAAAUGGAUAUACUAAUGUAACCCACAAUGCUAUCAUGAACACAGGACAUUUUCAUCUCUCCAGAAGAUUGUCUCGUGUCUCUUACUCUUUCAGAGGCAAUCAGUGUUUUGAUUUUGUUUAACCUUAGAUUAGUGACUGUUCCACAACUUUAUACUCUUUUACAUCCAGCUGCUUCUCACUAUAAUAUCUGUGAGAUUUAUUCAUGUUGUUGGAUUAGUUUGUUUCUUUUCAUUGCUAUAACUACUACAAUAUAUUUAUUCUGUUGAGCUUAUUUAACACAUGUAUUUUCUCUAUAAGGCACAUCGCAGUCUUUUUGUGAUUAGGGACCCUAGGCAGCACUUUAUCACUACGCUCGAGAGUCAUUUUAAACAGUGAAAUCACCAACAAAAAGCAAAAAACAUGGCACUAAAUAGACUGCAAAAAAGAUGUUUAUUUACAGUAUGAGAGCUGAAACAAGUGGGUAGAGAGCACGACCUCAUCUGAGAACAUAUGCAUCAGGUGACUCAAUUUUUGGCCACUCUGUGAGUGUCCAUGAAUGACCACAACAGUAUUGAUUUUGAGGUUAUGAAUACCUUUUAGCGAUCAGGCAAAUUCACGAAUACUGAAUUCAUUAAUGAUGAGUAGCAACUGUACAUAUGUGUAUCAGCAUAUGUACAGAUGGUCCCUGACUUAUGAUGGCUUAACACAUGAUUUUUUAACGUUAUGGUGGUGUGAAAGCUAUACACAUUCAGUAGAGACCAUACUUUGAAUUUAAUAUCAACAAGUGUCUCUGCCCCAGUGCCUUCUACCAAUGAUUCUCCAGCCUCAUCAGAAGAGAGACAAAUUGAUGACCCUGUUGAUGUAGCAUCCUCAUCAUCCAGCAAUUAAUUUUAGUUCAAUACUUCAAACAUUCUUGAGGCCCAGUGUACUUUCAGCUGUGUGUGUUAAUGGCCAGAUGUGGUGGCUCAUGCCUGUAAUCCCAGCACUUUGGGAGGCCAAGGUGGGUGGAUCACUUGAGAUCAGAUCGAGACUAGCCCGGCCAACUUGGGGAAACCCUGUCUCUAAUAAAAAUACAAAAAAUUAGUUGGGCUUGGUGGUGUGCACCUGUAGUCCCAGCUUCUCAGGAGGCUGAGGCACGAGAAUUGCUUGAACCUGGGAGGUGGAGGUUGCAGUGAGCCGAGAUCAUGCCAUUGCACUCCAGUCUGGGUGACAGAGCAAGACCUUGUCAAAAAAAGAAAAAAACCACACACACACGGUGGUGGCUUUUAGGUGUCAAGCACUGCAGUAGAUUCUGAAGAUACAAAAAUAAAUAAAACAUUCCUGCCCUCAAGACACUUACACUCUUAUGUGUAACACUGUGUGACCAUUCAUCUGGGCCUUCCUGAGACAGUCUUGGUUUACACCUGUUUUCCCAAUCAGAGCAUCACUGCCUUUCCCACUAUUCUCCUGCAGAAGAGCAGGGGAAGGAAGCACCAGGGUCCAUCAUGGAGGAAGGGUGUUGCCCUGAACAGCUGACACACCCUCAGCAAUGAAGCUUAGUUUUGCUGGAACUUUUCAGUUGUGACAACUGAGAUUCAGAGAUGUCCAAUCUACUCACAUAAAUAGCCUGGUUGAAGAUGGCUGAGCGUAAAACAGAAUGCAAGUCAGCUGGAGCACGUACUACUGGAGGCAGAGCCCCAUGAGAAGGGGCCAAGAACCCGCACCCAUCAAAAUCAAGAAGAAAGGCUGAACCCGGAGAGAAAAGGGAGCAACUGAUGUUGCCAUGCAGAUCCCUUGGUUGCUAUGAGAUGGUAACAUCACUCUGCCCCACCAUUGGCCAGUGCCUCCUCAGCUGCGGUGCCUCCCAGGCUGUGUGGUUCUCACGCGGGCCACUGACACAGAGCUGUUACUAUGGUGAACUUUACAAUUUCCUUUGAUUGGUGGAUUUCAGAAAUAGGCCAUCAGCGGAAUUCAUUAUAUUCAGCUAAGUAAAAAUGAAAAAUAAAUACUAUAACUUUCCCCUCAUCACUAACAUGAAGGAAACGUGACCCUUCAUGACAUAAUAAAUCGCUGUUCGGUAACUUAGGAUCCUUCAGGGGACUGAAGCGGGAUGAUCCUCCUAUGCCAAAUUUGGGUGGGAAAGAUAUUCCCUGUAGCUUUGAGUCGACUCUUCAGAGUUAAGGGCAGUGGGCCAACCAGAGUUGGAACUUCAGAGUUGGGAGGAGGUGUGGGAUGGGGCAUGCAUUGAAAUGUAAACUCUAUUGUCUCUGAAGUGAUGGGUGAUGCUGGGGGCCUGAGUGUGGAGGGCAGUUUUACAUCUCAGGACAAUGUUUUCUCAGAUGCUCUUCCAGAAAGAAAAGCCAGGAGUACUCCUGGCUGGAGGCGGCAUGCCUGAGGUCAGAGUCAAAGUAGGGUUUGUGCUGUCUGAAUCCUUUCUCCCACUCUCCCCAGCCUGGCUCAGCUUCUCAGCUUCUCAGGUGGAUUGGCCUCUGAGCCCAAGCCAAGCCAUCGCAUCCCCUGUGACUUGCCCGUAUAUAUGCCCAGAUGGCCUGAAGUAACUGAAGAAUCACAAAAGAAGUGAAUAUGCCUUGCCCCACCUUGACUGAUGACAUUCCACCACAAAAGAAGUGUAAAUGGCCGGUCCUUGCCUUAACUGAUGACAUUACCUUGUGAAAGUCCUUUUCCUGGCUCAUCCUGGCUCAAAAAGCACCCCCACUGAGCAUCUUGCGACUCCCACUCCUGCCCACUGAGCACCUUGUGACCCCCACUCCUGCCUGCCAGAGAACAAACCCCCUUUGACUGUAAUUUUCCUUUACCUACCCAAAUCCUAUAAAACGGCUCCACCCUUA